rnacentral:rRNA from 1 species
UAUAAGACUGGGAUAACUUCGGGAAACCGGGGCUAAUACCGGAUAAUAUAUUGAACCGCAUGGUUCAAUGUUGAAAGACGGUUUCGGCUGUCGCUUAUAGAUGGACCCGCGCCGUAUUAGCUAGUUGGUAAGGUAACGGCUUACCAAGGCAACGAUACGUAGCCGACCUGAGAGGGUGAUCGGCCACACUGGAACUGAGACACGGUCCAGACUCCUACGGGAGGCAGCAGUAGGGAAUCUUCCGCAAUGGGCGAAAGCCUGACGGAGCAACGCCGCGUGAGUGAUGAAGGUCUUAGGAUCGUAAAACUCUGUUGUUAGGGAAGAACAAAUUUGUUAGUAACUGAACAAGUCUUGACGGUACCUAACCAGAAAGCCACGGCUAACUACGUGCCAGCAGCCGCGGUAAUACGUAGGUGGCAAGCGUUAUCCGGAAUUAUUGGGCGUAAAGCGCGCGUAGGCGGUUUCUUAAGUCUGAUGUGAAAGCCCACGGCUCAACCGUGGAGGGUCAUUGGAAACUGGGGAACUUGAGUGCAGAAGAGGAGAGUGGAAUUCCAUGUGUAGCGGUGAAAUGCGCAGAGAUAUGGAGGAACACCAGUGGCGAAGGCGGCUCUCUGGUCUGUAACUGACGCUGAUGUGCGAAAGCGUGGGGAUCAAACAGGAUUAGAUACCCUGGUAGUCCACGCCGUAAACGAUGAGUGCUAAGUGUUAGGGGGUUUCCGCCCCUUAGUGCUGCAGCUAACGCAUUAAGCACUCCGCCUGGGGAGUACGACCGCAGGUUGAAACUCAAG